AAUUCUGGACAAUGGGGGAAACCCUGUUCCAGCCAUCCCGCGCGCAUGAUGACGGCCUUCGGCUCGUCAAGUACUCUUGGCACACAACAAACGUUAUCCCCUAAUACGUGAUACUGCUGACGGUAUCUGCAGAAUAAGCCCCGUCUAACUACGUGCCAGCAGCCGCGGUAAUACGUAGGGUGCAAGCGUUAAUCGGAAUUACUGGGCGUAAAGCGUGUGUAGGCGGUUCGGAAAGAAAGAUGUGAAAUCCCAGGGCUCAACCUUGGAACUGCAUUUUUAACUGCCGAGCUAGAGUAUGUCAGAGGGGGGUAGAAUUCCACGUGUAGCAGUGAAAUGCGUAGAUAUGUGGAGGAAUACCGAUGGCGAAGGCAGCCCCCUGGGAUAAUACUGACGCUCAGACACGAAAGCGUGGGGAGCAAACAGG
rnacentral:rRNA from 1 species